CGUGGAUAAGACAUGCAAGUCGAACGGGGCUAUUGAGUAGCAAUACGAGGAUAGUUCAGUGGCGAACGGGUGCGUAACACGUGGAUACAUUCCGGGAAGCGGGGGAUAGCCCAGGGAAACUUGGAUUAAUACCGCAUGUGGUCGAAAGACUAAAGACGGGGACCGCAAGGCCUGUCACUUCCCGAUUGGUCCGCGGCCUAUCAGCUAGUUGGCGGGGUAAAAGCCCACCAAGGCUACGACGGGUAGCUGGUCUUAGAGGACGACCAGCCACACUGGAACUGAGACACGGUCCAGACACCUACGGGUGGCAGCAGUCGAGAAUCUUUCACAAUGGGGGCAACCCUGAUGGAGCGACGCCGCGUGGAGGAUAAGGUCUUCGGAUUGUAAACUCCUGUCAUGCGCGAACAAGGUUGCAGAGUUAAUAACUUUGCAAAUUGAUGGUACCGCAAGAGGAAGAGACGGCUAACUCUGUGCCAGCAGCCGCGGUAAUACAGAGGUCUCAAGCGUUGUUCGGAAUCACUGGGCG
rnacentral:rRNA from 1 species